UACGUAGGGGGCUAGCGUUGUCCGGAAUCAUUGGGCGUAAAGCGCGCGUAGGCGGCCCUGUAAGUCCGUUGUGAAAGUCAAAGGCUCAACCUUUGAAAGCCGAUGGAUACUGCAGGGCUAGAGUCCGGAAGAGGCGAGUGGAAUUCCCGGUGUAGCGGUGAAAUGCGUAGAUAUCAAGAGGAACACCUGAGGUGAAGACGGGUUGCUGGGCUGACACUGACGCUGAGGCGCGAAAGCCAGGGGAGCAAACGGG
rnacentral:rRNA from 1 species